AACCUUCCUCAUGCACUAACGUGCGAAGGGGUUACCUCGAGUGCUACCUGAAGAAGGUGGCUUUUCCUUGGUCUAAAAAGCCUCGGGAAUAAGAGGGGGGCAAGACUGGUGUCAGCCGCCGCGGUAACACCAGCCCCUCGAGUGGUGGGGAUGAUUAUUUGGCCUAAAGCGUCCGUAGCCGGCCGGGUAAGUUUCCCGUUAAAUCCAGCGUCUCAAGCGUUGGACUGCGGGAAAUACUGCCCGGCUAGAGAGUGGGAGAGGUGUACGGUAUUCUGGGGGUAGGGGCGAAAUCCUUUGAUCCCCGGAGGACCACCAGUGGCGAAGGCUGUACACUAGAACACGUCUGACGGUCAGGGACGAAAGCUGGGGUAGCGAACCGGAUUAGAUACCCGGGUAGUCCCAGCUGUAAACGAUGCAUGCUAGGUGUUGGGUUGGCCACGAGCCACCCCAGUGCCGCAGGGAAGCCGUUAAGCAUGCCGCCUGGGAAGUACGAUCGCAAGAUUGAAACUUAAAGGAAUUGCG
rnacentral:rRNA from 1 species